rnacentral:lncRNA from 1 species
AUGGUGUACCUAUUCAAUAAUCUUCCUAUGUCAUUCACAGUUGGAGUGCCCAGCUCCCGAGGGGUUAAGCAAAGCUUCCAGACACAGCUGGCUACCAGUCACAUGAUCAGGCCCAUCUCUACCAUCCAUAGAGCAAGUCCACGAUCCAAUGUGACAAUGAUGUCCGCAUCACCAAUCUGGACUCAAAAUCGGGUAACCCUGAAUGAAACACCUGAGAGUUGUCGAAAGACAGAAGAGCAUAUCGACUUUGGCGUAGGGUCCAACCACCAGGUAAGUUGUUCAACGCCUUACCUCAAAGUACCACAGGACGGAAUUUCAGUCCACCACUUCAGACCCCAAGAUGUCCAUAUAGAAGUCAACUAUGCUGAGCCUCUCUCACCUCCCACUGAAGAGGCAGGAGCUGAUGUUGUAUCUUUGCUUGGAUCUGACCACAAGGAACAAUCCAUGUGGGAUAUGGAAAAGGAGGAAGAGGAUCAGAACAUAGUCAGAACCUGGUUUGCUGAAGAGAAACCCGUUCUGGAAUCUGCCAUGAGUCACCGGGUCGAGACCAGCUUCAGUAUGCCAACUGUGUUCAGCACUGAUGCUCAAGAGCUCUACAGCCCUUCAGUGAGCUAUGAGAGAGCAGGUUCGGUGACAGGGGCACAUUCUGCUUUCUCAGCGAAUGAUGAUAAUGAUGUACCUUUUGAAAUGUAUUUUGAAAAAGAGGAACCUCUACUAGAUAUGCCUUACGGUCCCAUGAAUGCAUCGGAGGAAAGAGAGCUUGAAACAGCAAAGAAAGAUGCUGAAUGGGCGAGAAACGAAGGCUUGGAAUCUGAAACUGCAUCAGUGCUAGAGCAAGCAUUUGAAACCUUCACAAGCAGUCAAGCUUUUGAGUAUGGGGCGGGGAAAAGUUACAACAAGCCAAUAGAGUUCAACCAAGAGGACAAUAUGUCAUAUGAAUCCACUCAAGCCUCCCACGGUUCAGAAGAGGCAUUUCGCCAUGUUAAAAGACUGGAGGAAGAUGUUAUUCAUCUCCCAAAAGAGGAUGAAAAUGAUAUGUCUAACAAACAUGAGGAGCAAUUGGAAGAUGAAUUGCACCCCUAUGGGUAUGGUAACGAUGAUUGUGAAAGAUUGGGAGGAUUCAUUAAGGAAAAUGACAUGACAGAAAGAAUCGAUAAGUUCAACCAAGAGGAGAUUAUCUCAUAUGAAUCUGCUCAAGCUUCUCACUGGUCAGAAGAGGUAUUUCACCAUGUUGAAAGAGUGGAGGAAGGUGACAUAAAUUUCACAAAAGUGGAUGAUGAAAAUGAUAUGUCUAACAAACGUGAGGAACAACAUGCACUGAACCCCAAUGGGGAUGUAAAGGAUGAAUGGGAUCGAGUGGCAGGGUACAAUGAAGAGAAUGGAAUUGGAGAAAGAAUGGAUGAUUGGAAAGAAGCAAAGUAUCAUGUGAAAGAGGAAGAGAUGUGGAAUAACAGAGAAGCCCAACCCAAUCGGUCUGAUCAAGAGUAUAUACCUUCAAAUGAAGAGAAACAAAAUCUAUUCGAGCAAGAGCAAAUACCUUCAGGCAGAGAGAAACUGAAUCAGUCUGAGCAAAGGUAUAUCAAUUCAAACGGAGAGAAACUGAAUCAAUCUGAGCAAGAACAUAUACCUUCAGGCGGAGAGAAACUGAUCAAUCCGAGCAAGAACAUAUCCUUCAGGCGGAGAGAAACUGAAUCAAUCCGAGCAAGAACAUAUACCUUCAGGCGGAGAGAAACUGAAUCAAUCCGAGUCAGAGUACAUAACUUCAGGCGGAGAGAAACUGAAUCAAUCCGAGCAAGAACAUAUACCUUCAGGCGGAGAGAAACUGAAUCAAUCCGAGCAAGAACAUAUACCUUCAGGCGGAGAGAGAACUGA